UACGGAGGAUGCAAGCGUUAUCCGGAUUCACUGGGUUUAAAGGGUGCGUAGGCGGACAGGUAAGUCAGUGGUGAAAUCUCCGAGCUUAACUCGGAAACUGCCUUUGAUACUCUCUGUCUUGAAUAUGGUGGAGGUAAGCGGAAUAUGUCAUGUAGCGGUGAAAUGCUUAGAGAUGACAUAGAACACCUAUUGCGAAGGCAGCUUACUACGCCUAUAUUGACGCUGAGGCACGAAAGCGUGGGGAUCAAACAGG
rnacentral:rRNA from 1 species